AUGAACGCUGGCGGCGUGCCUAAUACAUGCAAGUCGAGCGAACAGACGAGGAGCUUGCUCCUCUGACGUUAGCGGCGGACGGGUGAGUAACACGUGGAUAACCUACCUAUAAGACUGGGAUAACUUCGGGAAACCGGAGCUAAUACCGGAUAAUAUAUUGAACCGCAUGGUUCAAUAGUGAAAGACGGUUUUGCGGUCACUUAUAGAUGGAUCCGCGCCGCAUUAGCUAGUUGGUAAGGUAACGGCUUACCAAGGCAACGAUGCGUAGCCGACCUGAGAGGGUGAUCGGCCACACUGGAACUGAGACACGGUCCAGACUCCUACGGGAGGCAGCAGUAGGGAAUCUUCCGCAAUGGGCGAAAGCUUGACGGAGCAACGCCGCGUGAGUGAUGAAGGUCUUCGGAUCGUAAAACUCUGUUAUUAGGGAAGAACAAAUGUGUAAGUAACUAUGCACGUCUUGACGGUACCUAAUCAGAAAGCCACGGCUAACUACGUG
rnacentral:rRNA from 1 species